rnacentral:rRNA from 1 species
GGUGUAGCAGUGAAAUGCGUAGAUAUCUGGAGGAACAUCAGUGGCGAAGGCGGCUAACUGGUAUAACACUGACGCUGAGGUACGAAAGCGUGGGUAGCGAACGGGAUUAGAUACCCCGGUAGUCCACGCCCUAAACGAUGAGAACUAGCUGUUGGAAGCGUAAAUGCUUUCAGUAGCGAAGCUAACGCGUUAAGUUCUCCGCCUGGGGAGUACGACCGCAAGGUUGAAACUCAAAGGAAUUGACGGGGGCCCGCACAAGCGGUGGAGCAUGUGGUUUAAUUCGAUGCAACGCGAAGAACCUUACCAUCCCUUGACAUCCUCAGAAUUUGUCGUAAUGACUUAGUGCCUUCGGGAACUGAGUGACAGGUGCUGCACGGCUGUCGUCAGCUCGUGUCGUGAGAUGUUGGGUUAAGUCCCGCAACGAGCGCAACCCCUAUCUUUAGUUGCCAGCACGUAAUGGUGGGAACUCUAGAGAGACUGCCGGUGAUAAGCCGGAGGAAGGUGGGGACGACGUCAAGUCAUCAUGGCCCUUACGGGAUGGGCUACACACGUGCUACAAUGGUACAUACAGAGGGUUGCCAAGCCGCAAGGUGGAGCUAAUCCCAGAAAAUGUAUCUUAGUCCGGAUCGCAGUCUGCAACUCGACUGCGUGAAGUUGGAAUCGCUAGUAAUCGCGAAUCAGCAACGUCGCGGUGAAUACGUUCCCGGGCCUUGUACACACCGCCCGUCACACCAUGGGAGUGGGUUGCACCAGAAGUAGCUAGACUAACUGCUUGCAGAGGUCGGUUACCACGGU